AAACAACAACACUGGACUUUAUUCAGUACUUUAAAUUCUAGUUACAUUGUUUUUUUUAAUGUUAUAUUCCAUUUGGGAAAAUUGUCCUUAAGCAGAGGACCAUGUGUAAAUGUGCAUAAUGACUGCUGGGUUGAUACAUUUACAGAUUUACUGGGAAUUCUGCAUAAUUAUUUUUCCCCAAAUGGGUCAUAACAUAUUUUUCAUUAACCACCACAACAGAUUGACUGAUGAACCUUUGUUGCAAAUUCAGAAUCAUAUAUAGAACGAAUCUGGCCUGAAGUCAACAGUCGUGUCAACUAUCCACUAAAGACAGCUCUUCUGCAGUUGGUGGAUCAAGAGGAAAUAUACUUGAACAUCAGCCUUGUGAGAUACUGUGUGUCAAACCUGACUGGCCAGUUGUGCCAGAUUGGUCUUACAGGGCUGGUGGAGUCAUGGAAUGCUCACCGAAUUCCAGGUAAAGGUGUACCAAAUGACUUGGCUGGCUGUGGAUGUCCCAAAAAAAUCCCACAGGAGCUGCUGCCUCAUUCAGUUGACUUUUGGAGUUGAUCCAUUUUCAACUGAACAGGACAAACUUAGAGUUGAGAAUCAGUUUGCUGAGCAAUAUUCAGACAUUUCAGACUUGUUCUCUAGAGCAGUGAACAAUGACUUGGCUCCGUACAAACAGGCAUUGCUCUGUCUUAUAACCACAACUCAGCGCAAUGUGUGAAAAGCAGAUUGCUCUAUUUGAACAGAAUGUAAAUUUGUAACAAGAACAAUGAACACCAAUCACAUCAACCAGCCUAAACAUGUAAAUAAAUUAACAUUACAACUCAAUUUUUGAAUCAAUAAAACAAAGUCAAAU